GUGCUCGCUUCGGCAGCACAUAUACUAAGAAAUUGGAAUGAUACAGAGAAGAUUAGUAUGGCCCCUGCACAAGGACAAAGAUAUUUGAGACUUGAACUAAAAAGAA